CUUGGAAGUUCUUAUCAU
rnacentral:misc_RNA from 1 species